rnacentral:rRNA from 1 species
CCAGACUCCUACGGGAGGCAGCAGUGGGGGAUAUUGCACAAUGGGGGGAACCCUGAUGCAGCGACGCCGCGUGGGCGAUGGAGUGCUUCGGCAUGUAAAGCCCUAUCAGCAGGGAAGAAAAUGACGGUACCUGACUAAGAAGCCCCGGCUAAAUACGUGCCAGCAGCCGCGGUAAUACGUAUGGGGCAAGCGUUAUCCGGAUUUACUGGGUGUAAAGGGAGCGUAGGCGGCCUGGCAAGCCUGAUGUGAAAUACCGGGGCCCAACCCCGGGGCUGCAUUGGGAACUGCCAGGCUGGAGUGCCGGAGAGGCAGGCGGAAUUCCUAGUGUAGCGGUGAAAUGCGUAGAUAUUAGGAGGAACACCAGUGGCGAAGGCGGCCUGCUGGACGGUGACUGACGCUGAGGCUCGAAAGCGUGGGGAGCAAACAGGAUUAGAUACCCGAGUA